rnacentral:rRNA from 1 species
GUAGUCUGCAACCCGACUACAUGAAGCUGGAAUCGCUGUAAUCGCGGAUCAGAAUGCCGCGGUGAAUACGUUCCCGGGUCUUGUACACACCGCCCGUCACACCAUGGGAGUCGGAAAUGCCCGAAGUCGGUGACCUAACUGAAAGGAAGGAGCCGCCGAAGGCAGGUCUGGUGACUGGGGUGAAGUCGUAACAAGGUAGC